AGCUACAGGCUUAACACAUGCAAGUCGAGGGGCAGCAUGGUCUUAGCUUGCUAAGGCCGAUGGCGACCGGCGCACGGGUGAGUAACGCGUAUCCAACCUGCCUUACACUCUUGGACAGCCUUCUGAAAGGGAGAUUAAUACAAGAUGUUAUCAUGAGUAAGCAUUUUCGCAUGAUUAAAGGUUUACCGGAGUAAGAUGGGGAUGCGUUCCAUUACAUACUAGGCGGGGUAACGGCCCUCCUAGUCUUCGAUGGAUAGGGGUUCUGAGAGGAAGGUCCCCCAGAUUGGAACUGACACACCCUCCCAACUCCUACGGGAGGCAGCAGUGAGGAAUAUUGGUCAAUGAACGAGAGUCUGAACCAACCAAGUAUCGUGAAGGAUGAAGGUUCUAUGGAUUGUAAACUUCUUUUAUACAGGAAUAAACGGAUCCACGUGUGGAUUUUUGCAUGUACCGUAUGAAUAAGGAUCGGCUAACUCCGUGCCAUCAGCCGCGGUAAUACAGAGGAUCCGAGCGUUAUCCGGAUUUAUUGGGUUUAAAGGGAGCGUAGAUGGGUUGUUAAGUCAGAUGUGAAAGUUUGCGGCUCAACCCUAAAAUUGCAAUUGAUACUGGUAGACUUGAGUACAGUUGAGGUAGGCGGAAUUCGUGGUGUAGCGGUGAAAUGCUUAGAUAUCACGAAGAACUCCGAUUGCGAAGGCAGCUUACUAACCUGUAACUGACAUUGAUGCUCGAAAGUGUGGGUAUCAAACAGGAUUAGAUACCCUGGUAGUCCACACGGUAAACGAUGAAUACUCGCUGUAGGCGAUAUACAGUCUGCGGCCAAGCGAAAGCAUUAAGUAUUCCACCUGGGGAGUACGCCGGCAACGGUGAAACUCAAAGGAAUUGACGGGGGCCCGCACAAGCGGAGGAACAUGUGGUUUAAUUCGAUGAUACGCGAGGAACCUUACCCGGGCUUAAAUUGCAACCGAAUAUGGCGGAAACGCUAUAGCUAGCAAUAGCGGUUGUGAAGGUGCUGCAUGGUUGUCGUCAGCUCGUGCCGUGAGGUGUCGGCUUAAGUGCCAUAACGAGCGCAACCCUUGCCGAUAGUUACUAACAGGUUAUGCUGAGGACUCUGUCGGGACUGCCAUCGUAAGAUGUGAGGAAGGUGGGGAUGACGUCAAAUCAGCACGGCCCUUACGUCCGGGGCUACACACGUGUUACAAUGGGGGGUACAGAGGGCUGCUACCACGCAAGUGGAUGCCAAUCCCAAAAACCUCUCUCAGUUCGGAUUGAAGUCUGCAACCCGACUUCAUGAAGCUGGAUUCGCUAGUAAUCGCGCAUCAGCCACGGCGCGGUGAAUACGUUCCCGGGCCUUGUACACACCGCCCGUCAAGCCAUGGGAGCCGGGGGUACCUGAAGUGCGUAACCGCAAGGAGCGCCCUAGGGUAAAACUGGAG
rnacentral:rRNA from 1 species